GAAUGAAAGAGAUCUUUGGUUUUGCCUUUGCUGACUGCUGAUCUGAUCGUCUCAAGUCUGGUGACCUGCUGCAGAAAACCCUCUCCCUCUAUCUUUGACAAGCAAUUAACAAGCAAUUUCAGUCUGUCCUAUCACUCUCCCUCUCCCUGCUCCAUCUUUUUUGACAAGCCAUUCUAUCUUCUAUCAUUUCUCCGCCAUGAGCUCUAUCUAAUUUGACAAGCUUGAACCUGAGUUGAAAAGCAAUCUAAGUUUGACAAGAAACCAAGUUUGACAAGAAACCAAGUUUGACAAGAAACCAAGUUUGACAAGAAAUUGAAGUUACCACAACUUCGUCGAUCUGUUUUCAGAAAUCUGAGAGAUCUCCGCUCUCACUGCUCCUUCUUUCCUGUCAUUAAACUCUCUCAUAUCCACUCAUUUUACUGGAAAUUACAAGUGGAACGUUGAAUAUACAGUAGUAGAAUUACAGUAUAGUAGAACUCGCAGUAGAAACUACUUACACAGCCCUACAUUUGUCAUUUUAAUUUUGCAUUACACUUUGGAAUAAACAUUGAUUGGCUGUUUGGCUUACAAGGGCAAUUACUUUGAUAAAUUAUAUAAAAUAUACACCUCUUAAAGGUUUAUUUGUAAUAAGAUAAUCUGGUUAUUUUGUAAUAUAUACAUUCAGACUGCUGUAUUUACAUAAAUAUUAGAUUCAAAUACAUUUUUCAAGUCUGUUUCAUUGACUAUAACAUUUGACUACAAGUUUAUACUAUUAUUAUUUAAGGACAAACCCCUUUUUUGUCACUCAGUGUAAGUAUUCAGUUACAAUUGUCAUCUAGAGGCUGCCCUGAGAACCCAGACUUCCUGUUUCCUGACUGCUGCAGAACAUCCAGCUGAAGAAACCUCAUCGCCUGUCAUCUGAUCACCACACCAUCACAGCUCCUUAUAUUUGCUUAAAAUUUUAGAUAUCUGAAAGAUUUACACAAAGUCUACUUAAAAGCUAAGAGUUUUAUUAUAGCCUGUUGAUUGUUGAGAUUUAUUCUGCAUAUUACUUUACAGAAGUAUAGACCUAUUCAUUAACCAGUCUGGUUAAAAAAAUAGAAGUAAUAAUAUACAGUUUCUGAAAAAGCUACAAUAAAACUGUUUUUAAAGAACUUUC